GGGGCCUGGUCAUCAGUCUGUCCCCUGGGGAGGACUCCUGGGAAGCCAUUUGUCAGCAUCUUGUUAUGGCAGGAGAGGGUCCUGGCAGAACAAUGCCAAGAUCCACUUGGCCAAUUAGAGCUCUGUACUGGAGCAGGACCUUGAAGUGGCCCCAAGGGAGCUUUCUGGGGUGGGAGGUCCUUGGGGACCUUCACGGGAGACCAGAGAUGGUCCUAGCGAGGCUCAGGCCCUGCAGAGGUGGCACAGGCUGUGCCCAGCUGCAAGAGUGGACACAGGGAACAACUGGAGGUGUUUAUCCAUUCAUCCCAGCCUCCUUACCCAUCAUCCCGUCAUUUGCCAAGUCAGCCAUCAAGGUUUGCUUCCCCUCAGAUUGAAGUCACGCCGAUGUCCUGCCUGUCCCUGGCCAUUCGGUGAGCCCAGGAGAACCGUGGGUUCCUGCUCAGGUCCUGGGCACUCCAGAGUUCCAGUUCUGAGGGACCUGCCACUCACAGGACAACCUCUACCACAACCACCACCCUGGGGACAGACAUUCGAUCCAGGUCGGGCCAGUCACCAUCCAUCCUGGGAUUUGAACAUCUAAGACCCAGGAAAGAGAACUGCUCUAUGCAGGAUGCCUGCUGAGCUGCCCUGGGGUCCCUGCAGCACAGGUGCUGGUGCUGAUGUUGGCAGCUGCCUGCUCCAAGACAAGGGGCAGGCUGUUCAGUUUUGUUCUUCCAUUGUGUGCGCCUUGCCCUCUGCUCUGCUUCAGGUCUUGUAAACCGGAUGUGAUAAUUCUCAGUCUCUGGAAGCUACUGCUCAGUAAGAAAAAUGCCAGAACAUUCACAACUUGUCUACUGGAUAAAAUCUCCAGCCCUAGGGUGUGCUGCUCCAGGCUUUCCCUAGCCUGGUACCAUCCUGCCUUCCUGUCUCAGAUGUUCUGAACAUUCCUCUCAGACAGGAGACGAAGGGGCAGAAGAAGUUAGCCUGAGACCAGGGGAACUGAGUGCUGGGGGUUCUUAGAUUCCAGUCUGGUCUCUGCCAAUAGUACUUUGUGACUUUCAGACAGUCUCUGCCAUUCUCUGGAACUGGUUUUCUUCUCUCUAAAUUGGAUACAUUCACC
rnacentral:lncRNA from 1 species